rnacentral:rRNA from 1 species
AAAUUGAAGAGUUUGAUCAUGGCUCAGAUUGAACGCUGGCGGCAGGCCUAACACAUGCAAGUCGAACGGUAACAGGAAGAAGCUUGCUUCUUUGCUGACGAGUGGCGGACGGGUGAGUAAUGUCUGGGAAACUGCCUGAUGGAGGGGGAUAACUACUGGAAACGGUAGCUAAUACCGCAUAACGUCGCAAGACCAAAGAGGGGGACCUUCGG